UCGAGUGGAUUUUGCGGUCACAACGAUCACAAUCAAAUCGCGGGGAACUUUUAUUUAUAUUUAUGUGAGAAGUUGUCGAUGAACUUACUGCUCAAAAACUAAUCGAGGGUCUCGAAUUACAAAUAUGGCGCUCGAAAAGAUCCAGCUCCAGAUCAAAAGGCAUUGGACUGCCCGGAUAAGCUCAGCUUGAACGCAAAUGCAAAGUGAUCCUUAUCGAACAAUCGAUUUGUUUGUGAAAUUUAAGAAUUAAAGUGAACGAUCGAUGUACUUUGACCAAACAUCAACGAACUUAUUAGUGCAUCUUCAGGACAGAAGUCACACGAAUGUCUCCAAAAAUGCAAUCAUCAAUUAACAAACGCUGGACUACUUCAUUCCGGUUUUUUGGUCCGGAAUCCCAAAAACUCUUUUGAGAAUGUCCAAUCGAGAUUUGGGUCCGACCGAGUCGUAAUUGCAAGAGCUGUGGCAUCCAUCUACCCGGACCAUCGGAAAAUGAGAAAUUAAAGAAUUGAAAUUGGUCGAUCGAUGAGGAAUUUCAACCAGACAUCAACGAACUGCAGUGCAGCUUCUAACAGAAGUCACACGAAUGUCUCCAAAAAUGCGAUCAUCAAUGUUAAACGCCGGAUUACUCCAUUCAAGUGGAUAAAUUUUCCAAGCAACUCCAAGGAUCGCGAUGCAGAGCAGAUUUCUUUCCGGAAUCCCAUUGAGACUUGGGUCCGGAAUUAAGAUUUGGGUCCGACCGAGUCGUAAUUGCACGAAAUGUGGCAUUCAUCCAUCCGGACUAUCGGAAAAUGAGAUCCAGCUCCAGAUCAAAAGGCAUUGGACUGCCCGGAUAAGCUCAGCUUGAACGCAAAUGCAAAGUGAUCCUUAUCGAACAAUCGAUUUGUUUGUGAAAUUUAAGAAUUAAAGUGAACGAUCGAUGUACUUUGACCAAACAUCAACGAACUUAUUAGUGCAUCUUUAGGACAGAAGUCACACGAAUGUCUCCAAAAAUGCAAUCAUCAAUUAACAAACGCUGGACUACUUCAUUCCGGUUUUUUGGUCCGGAAUCCCAAAAACUCUUUUGAGAAUGUCCAAUCGAGAUUUGGGUCCGACCGAGUCGUAAUUGCAAGAGCUGUGGCAUCCAUCUAUCCGGAACAUUGGAAAAUGAGAAAUUAAAGAAUUGAAAUUGGUCGAUCGAUGAGGAAUUUCAACCAGACAUCAACGAACUGCAGUGCAGCUUCUAACAGAAGUCACACGAAUGUCUCCAAAAAUGCGAUCAUCAAUGUUAAACGCCGGAUUACUCCAUUCAAGUGGAUAAAUUUUCCAAGUAACUCCAAGGAUCGCGAUGCAGAGCAGAUUUCUUUCCGAAAUCCUAUUGAGACUUGGGUCCGGAAUUAGGAUUUGGGUUCGACCGAGUCGUAAUUGCGCGAAAUGUGGCAUUCAUCCAUCCGGACUAUCGGAAAAUGAGGUAUUUACCGCCAUUUUUUAUAGUUCCCGAUACGAACUCAAGUAUUUGUACAGACCGGUCCGGAUUCGAGAGAAACUCUCUCUUUUUUUGCGAUUAGGUUCGUUUAAUGUUUUAUUAUUCACCGCACAAUUUUCAACACCUUAAAAAAAGUUUUCUAAUAUACUUUAAGCAAUUGUACAAAAGUAAGACCAGAACGAAUAUA